rnacentral:rRNA from 1 species
UACAGAGGUCCCGAGCGUUGUUCGGAUUCACUGGGCGUAAAGGGUGCGUAGGUGGCGUGGUAAGUCUGGUGUGAAAUCCUGGGGCUCAACCCUGGAACUGCAUUGGAUACUGCCUUGCUAGAGAACUGGAGAGGAGACUGGAAUUUACGGUGAGCAGUGAAAUGCGUAGAGAUCGUAAGGAAGACCAGUGGCGAAGGCGAGUCUCUGGACAGUUACUGACACUGAGG